CCCCAUCUCUUUCAGCCUGUCCUCGUAGGGGAGUGUUCCAGGUGACGUUGCACCAGCACAGAGCGGAAGGCGGGAUCACUUCUCUCAACCUGCUGGCCAGUUUUCGACACAGCCGAGGAUCCGGUUGCCUUUCUGGGCUGGACAAACACGAACCCACCCAAGUGGCAGAAGGGAAGCAUUGCAUCAAGGCAUUCGCUGGACUGACUUUGCCUUCAACAGAGCGUGAAGCUCCUGGGAUCAGGAUACCGAGGAGUAUUGCUCCUGGCUUUGUAUGGAGAAGCAGACAGAAGUCAGCAGAUGCAUUGCCUUUCUGCGUAUUCCUGGAAGAGCUAUGCAUCCUGAAGAAUAAGGUUAAGCAGCACUUGGUUUACAUCAGUGGUCCUUUAAUGAUCACUUAGCUAUUUCCUGCAGUGAGAUCUUCCUUCAGGACAAAGCUCUGCUCUGGCAUGUUGUGAUGCCGCCUCCGGUUCCGCUAGCUUUCACAGCUCAGAGUGUGCGCCGCUGCUGAAGGAGCUGUGGAGCAGUGACAGCCCUUCCCACCAAUUCAUGCAUCAGCCUGGAAACAGCCUUGAGAGCCACCAGCAGACAAUUAGAUUCAUAGCACAUUGAAGGAAACAGCAACAGCUUUUUUUUUUCUGUUAGAUGGAGAAAUGAAAACUAAAGUUUGAGAUGUUUUUGCAGCCAAAGUUGGUUAUAGGAAAACCAAUAAAUGUGUUCCUACAUUAAAGAGAAAAAGAGCAGAAUUUGAAAAGUUUCCAAGUCUACAUUCUUCUUGUUGGUUUUCCAUGACAUUUUAACUAUGAUAAAGAAAUCAAUAUGCUUUCAAUGCUUCAGUGUGAUUUUUUGUUUGACAUCUCCUAUAGCCAUUAACAGAAUACGUGAUACUGCAGUACUCCCAGCCUGAGCACGCUGUGGUGCUGCACAGGAAGGGAUGAGUGUUGCCUUUUCUUAGUCCUCCUCAGGGCUGCUGUGCAACAGUUCAUCAAUGAAGAAGGAAAAGAGCAAAUAAUCCAAAAUGAUUUCUGUUCUUUUUUGGUUUCAAACUACAGUAUGAUUGGCUGCCUCACACUACACUCUCUUUCAGUAUUUAGGCAAAUGCAUUAGGACAAAAUUUCUCCUUGCACUCAGUAAACUGAUCUGUUGACACUGUCCUCUUACAGAUCCCUGGGUUUUCAUAUGUAUCACCUGAUUAGAAAAACAUGAGUUCAGAGAGAACAUCAUUUCUGUGAUCCAGUACUAUUUCAGGCAGACCCAAACCCCCCAGUCAAUGGAAAGCUUUUACUGUUGAACUUUGUUGCUUAUAUGGCUGAACCAGGCUCAGUA